rnacentral:ncRNA from 1 species
GGGGAAAGGCUUAGAAUCCCCGCGAAAUAGCUGUGUGAAUAGCGGCGUCUUUGGCCGGACGAAGCGGUUCGUGAAUC